CAAUCCUUCGGUCAGAGUUUGCGAAAAUUCCUGACCGGUUGUGAGCUCCGGCCCUCAUCGGCUGGGCUUUAAAGUGGCACGCUCUGCGGGUGACCCAACCUGAACGAACAUAGUAGAAUCCAUUCAACCUGUUCGACUAAGGCAAGGUCGACUCCGCCUGAACAAGAACCUAAAUUUUCUAAG
rnacentral:misc_RNA from 1 species